rnacentral:rRNA from 1 species
UAGGGAAUCUUCCGCAAUGGACGCAAGUCUGACGGAGCAACGCCGCGUGAGUGAAGAAGGAUUUCGGUUCGUAAAACUCUGUUGUUAGAGAAGAACAGCGCAUAGAGUAACUGUUAUGCGUGUGACGGUAUCUAACCAGAAAGCCACGGCUAACUACGUGCCAGCAGCCGCGGUAAUACGUAGGUGGCAAGCGUUGUCCGGAUUUAUUGGGCGUAAGGCGGGCGCAGGCGGUCAAUUAAGUCUGAUGUGAAAGCCCCCGGCUCAACCGGGGAGGGUCAUUGGAAACUGGUUGACUGGAGUGCAGAAGAGGAGAGUGGAAUUCCAUGUGUAGCGGUGAAAUGCGUAAAUAUAAGGAGGAACACCAGUGGCGAAGGCGACUCUCUGGUCUGUAACUGACGCUGAGGCUCGAAAGCGUGGGUAGCAAACAGG